AUUGAACGCUGGCGGCGUGCUUAACACAUGCAAGUCGAUCGGUAACAGGUGUAGCAAUACAUGCUGACGAGAGGCGGACGGGUGAGUAAUGCUUGGGAAUCUGCCUAUUAGUGGGGGACAACCCGGGGAAACUCGGGCUAAUACCGCAUACGCUCUACGGAGGAAAGCCGGGGACCGCAAGGCCUGGCGCUAAUAGAUGAGCCCAAGUCGGAUUAGCUAGUUGGUAGGGUAACGGCCUACCAAGGCGACAAUCCGUAGCUGGUCUGAGAGGACGACCAGCCACACCGGAACUGAGACACGGUCCGGACUCCUACGGGAGGCAGCAGUGGGGAAUAUUGGACAAUGGGGGCAACCCUGAUCCAGCGACGCCGCGUGGGUGAAGAAGGCCUGCGGGUUGUAAAGCCCUUUCGGUGGGGAAGAAAAGUCUCGACCUAAUACGUCGGGACCUUGACGUAACCCACUAAAGAAGCACCGGCU
rnacentral:rRNA from 1 species